CGCGUAGGCGGCCAGGCAAGUCAGUAGUGGAAGUCCAGCUUUCAAGGUUGGAAGUGCUAUUGAAACUGCAGGGCUUGAGUGCAGGAGAGGUUAUCGGAAUUCCCGGUGUAGCGGUGAAAUGCGUAGAGAUCGGGAGGAACACCAGUGGCGAAGGCGGGUAACUGGACUGCAACUGACGCUGAGGCGCGAAAGUGUGGGGGGCAAACA
rnacentral:rRNA from 1 species